CUCGGGCAGGCUGCCACUCCCGGCCCAGCGCGGCCCGUCGGUGAGCUCAGCACCACCUUUCCCAGUAACAGAGGUAUUAUAACAGGAGAAAGUGACGUGUCUCCUUCCCCACAGAAUGGAGAGGACUGUGCCCAGGAAUGGAAUUCCGGGCCGGGUGGGUGGACUGCAGUGCAGCGAGUGGUGAUGAGGACGGAAGGAGGAAAGGGAGUGAGGCCCCUGCAUUUGUGUUGGAGACCUCGUCCUGGUCAGCAGGUGGGAUGGAGGCGCUCAGAUGGUAAAUGUCACCUGCAACCCCAACUCCCAGAAGAAAUACACACUCAGGAACACACUCUCAGGAAUAACAACUUGGAACUGUACAUCAAGGGUCCUUAAAAGCUUUAUAACCUUUGAUUAAUAGGAUUACUUCAGGAAUCCAUUGUGAGGAAACAAUUCCAAAUUUUAAAGAUGUUUUAUACCCAAGAAGUUCUUCACAGGUGUAUAUAUUACACCAAAAAAUAAAAUAACCUACUUUCAAAAAUAAAGUAUGCCAAAUAUAAA